UACGGAGGGGGCUAGCGUUGUUCGGAAUUACUGGGCGUAAAGCGCACGUAGGCGGAUUGGAAAGUCAGAGGUGAAAUCCCAGGGCUCAACCUUGGAACUGCCUUUGAAACUCCCAGUCUUGAGGUCGAGAGAGGUGAGUGGAAUUCCGAGUGUAGAGGUGAAAUUCGUAGAUAUUCGGAGGGACACCAGUGGCGAAGGCGGCUCACUGGCUCGAUACUGACGCUGAGGUGCGAAAGCGUGGGGAGCAAACAGG
rnacentral:rRNA from 1 species